rnacentral:pre_miRNA from 1 species
AAGGUUCUGGCGGGUCUUGGCACUGGAAGAAUUCACAGAUGUGCAGUGUGUAAUCGUGGAUCAUCCAAUGCCAUCACUUGCUGGAUACCGG